GAGUGAGCCAGCCGGCAGCUGCUGACCCAGUCGUUGGUCUGGACGCUCAGGUAGCGACUCAGAGAGCCCUGAGGAGGACAUGGAGGACGUGAGGGAAGGGAAGAGAACGCAGAAGACCAUUCUCAGCAGAUGGCUGCCCUCCCUCAGCUACUGGACGUCUCCUCCAGUUAAAAUCAUCUGUCUACGCGGUGGAACAGUCACUGGCACGCCCGCAGACAGAGCAGACGCCGUGUAAUCCGUGGAAUGCAGAGAGACGAUGUGGACGGUAGGGAGUGUGUUUGUGUUUACGUGUAGGCAGGAGACGUGACGAGCUGUCGUCUCUGCCACCCCCGCCCCACACAUUGCUUUCCCUCGCAGGCAACGCUAGAGGAAGGAACAAUUAACAACACAUCUGUCUGCUUUCUUUCUCCGACACCUCACCGAGAACUCACUACGGAGGGAGGGCGUUUGUACAGACUGAAUUCAAUGCCGAGCGCUUUCGCGUCCCCGUAGAGGAGAUAAUGUACACGAGCUCUGAUGAAAACCAAUCCAUCUUUGCAAUUCACAGUCAAGGUUCCUAUUAGAGGGCAAUCAGGAAGCUCAGUUCUAACUUCUUGUGGCUCAAUGAUGCCACGGAGGAGGAGGAGGAGGAGGAGAGAGAGAGUCGGUGUGGGUACGACAGAUGAUAUCAAACAUUCUUUCAAUCUUUGUGCUUCACUGUGUAGGCCUGCAUUUUUUUUCCACCUUCAUUUCUCUCUUUGUUACUUUUCUUCCAUUUAUCUCCUUCUGCCUAAUGCACCUAGUUGUAUAACAGAUGAUUACGACUGUGGCGGAGAUGCAAUGACGGCUGAGAGUCCAUUUUUAGGACUCGAAAAUGGUAAAAUUGAUACAGAUUCAUGGAGGAUGCUCAAGUCCGGAGGAAGCGACUGCCGUCUUCUCAAUACGACGCAAUUUUCUCCUGGACUUUCACCCUCGCAGUUAAACUAAACUGAUGUCGAAGAUCUUUGACUGUUUUUAAAGGUCAGCAAUAAAUCCAAAACUAGAUCUGGCCGACUGGUUUUUAAUCAAUAGCUGACCUACAUUCAUAAAGAAGGAAGAGUUACGUGACGAUCGGCGUACAUUUGUCUGUCUGUUAGCAACAUUACUCAAAAAUGAACAAACAGAUUUGGAUGAAAUUCACAGGGAAGGUCAGAAAUGACACAGCUGAUUAGAUUUUAUCAGUGAUGCGGCUUAUAGUCUGGAUCCACGGAUUUGUUAAAGAUUUCUGUAUCAUUGCCAGAUAGCAGCACGGCGUCACUGUAACCAUGACAACAAGUGAACACUACGUCAGCUGAUUGUGAUGCUACUACAAAUCCACCGCUGCAAACCACAGAUUGUUUAUAAAACUGUAAUUGUGAGUAAUUCUACUUUUUAAAGAAAUUUUUCAUAGUUUGAAGUCAUUUUUAGUCAUUUUUUUUUUAACCCUUCUCAGCCAUCCGAGACAAGAAUCUCAUUUUGGACAGGUUUUGAACAGUUGAGGAAGGAUUUUUGAGCAUGUUCUGGACUUAUUUUGUGUAAUUUCUAGUCCUUUUCCACAUAUUUCAAGUCAUUUUUGACAAAUCUUAACAACAUUUAGAGAACAUACUUGUUCUAUGAGGUCAAAUUUGAGUCAUUUUGGACACAUUUUUAUUUAUUUUUUUAGUCAUUUUUGGAACCCUUCUAAGCCAUCCUAGAGGUUUGAUUAAUUUUGGACAGAUUGUGAACAGAAAAAGAGGGUUUUUUUGAGCAAGUUCCGGACAAAAUUCUCGUUCUCGACUAAUCAGGACUGAUCCAUCGGAAAUGAUACAAAGAACAAUCGAUUAAACUGCGGGGGUGUUUCUGAGUCCCAUCAAUUCCCGCUGCAUAUUUAGGUCACAUGAUUCGGUAUCCAUACAUAACGUACACAUGCAUAACACACGCCUGUGAUCAACGCAAGGUCAAGGAAUGAAGUCUUGGCAGAGCACAGCGCUCUCUGAGUGCUUUUCUUGUUGAUUGACGUGACACGUUAUGAACGCGUGUCAAGAUGUGAAAUUAACUUUUUAAGCCACUGACAGGUAUGUCCGAAUAUGAUUCAUUAAAUAUCAAAUGAUCAUUUUGUGCCUUAAAUCUACCAACCACUUCAUGUAUCUGGCUGCUGCUAAUUUCCCACCAUGUAAAUGAGUUGGAGCGUGUUAAAGGAUUAGUUUAGGAAUAAAUAUUGUCAAUUACAAUGCUGAAACGUAUUCAAAAAGCUGAAACAAAUGCAACUUUUUCGCAACUGUCACGGUCUCCCGCAACUUCAUCGCAACUUACUAGAAAAGCUGCCACAAAUUCAGGCAUUUUAAGCCGCAAUAAUCUCGAAAAACACCCGCGAACUCCUGGAGAGACUGAUUAACCCUUUACGCUUCAGUGCGUCGUAGGUGUACCGCCGGCGGUACACCUACUAAUUUGCAUAGGAAUUUCAAGAAUGUCCGACGGCUGCAAACACGAUUAUACAAACACUAUACGCCGAUGGAAAGCUUAGAUUAUCAUGAAUCCGCCGGUAUAAACCACUUUCAGAUGCGAUUACCACAGCGGGUGAGAAAAACACAUUUGUCCGACAAAAACGAAUAUCCAUCCAUCCGUUCUCUAUACACGGCUUCAACGCACACAGCGCAACUCACAUUUCCGGGUUCAUUAUUACACACAGAAAAAAAGAUUCCACAAAAAACGGCCAUAAUCCAACCUUUUACAUCCAGAUGACACAAGCCAGUAAACUAUUUUGUCCAAAACAUGUCCUGAAGUCGGUAUAAAAUCCACGAAUCGGUCGUUUUCAAGGAAAUGCACCUCGCGAUGUGCGUCCAAUAUUCCCUGUAUUUUUCGUAAUUUUUUUUAUUUAAAAAUAGAAUAUUAGCGAUUUUUUGUACUGAAAACGGCUGGAAUUGACUGAAGCUUAAAGGGUUAAUUAAUUAACGAAGACACACUACAACCCCGGUGUGUUCAGUGUUAAAUAAAAUCUUUUGUGUGACAGCAGGAAUAGCUGGAUCUAAA